UACGUAGGGCGCAAGCGUUGUCCGGAAUUAUUGGGCGUAAAGAGCUCGUAGGCGGCCUGUUACGUCUGCUGUGAAAAUCCCGGGGCUUAACCCCGGGCGUGCAGUGGAUACGGGCGGACUUGAGUACUGCAGGGGAGACUGGAAUUCCUGGUGUAGCGGUGAAAUGCGCAGAUAUCAGGAGGAACACCGGUGGCGAAGGCGGGUCUCUGGGCAGUAACUGACGCUGAGGAGCGAAAGCGUGGGGAGCGAUCCGG
rnacentral:rRNA from 1 species